UACGGAGGGUGCGAGCGUUGUCCGGAAUCACUGGGCGUAAAGGGCGCGUAGGUGGCGCGGGCAGUCAACGGUGAAAGUUCGGGGCUCAACCCUGAAUCGGCCGUCGAUACUCCCGGGCUUGAGCACUGUAGAGGCAGAUGGAAUUCCGGGUGUAGCGGUGGAAUGCGUAGAGAUCCGGAAGAACACCGGUGGCGAAGGCGGUCUGCUGGGCAGUGGCUGACACUGAGGCGCGACAGCGUGGGGAGCAAACAGG
rnacentral:rRNA from 1 species